UACGGGGGGUGCAAGCGUUAUCCGGAUUCACUGGGUUUAAAGGGUGCGUAGGUGGGCAGGUAAGUCCGUGGUGAAAUCUCUGAGCUUAACUCAGAAACUGCCGUGGAUACUAUUUGUCUUGAAUGUUGUGGAGGUGAGCGGAAUAUGUCAUGUAGCGGUGAAAUGCUUAGAUAUGACAUAGAACACCAAUUGCGAAGGCAGCUCACUACACAAUUAUUGACGCUGAGGCACGAAAGCGUGGGGAUCAAACAGG
rnacentral:rRNA from 1 species